AAAUACAAUACUUUUUGUGUAUGAAAAUACAAUAACUGCUGUGGGAGUUUCUCUAACCGACAACCAUCACAUAAGAGCUAUAGUGAUGAUACAGCGAUCGACCUCACGCUGCCAGAGCAUCUUAUACCCGGCCAAAGGUAUAAGACCUGAACUGCCUAAUGGAUCCACUAGUCUAAUCUGAAAAGGAUUCAUCUAAAAAGUAUGAUCCUUUUCUACCCAUGGUGGCUAACAUGGUUCUAUGGGGGCUGUGGGUUCUUUGAACGCUCCCCCAAUUCGGUGCUCGAUACUACUCCCAAAAAUGUACUGGCUCUUAUGUUUUUAAAACAUAUUUCUUCCUGCUGAUAUGAGAUAAUUACUCAAAAACUAGCCCGAAGGCUCUUUUGGAAAUCUCAGUUUCCAACCUUGUUUAAAUGUAAAGACAUUUCUUUAAAACUUCUUUGGGAAUACAUAGUUCCCUAAUAACUUUGAGAAAUGAACCCAACUUUAAACUCUUUACUUUACUUGAACUCUUAACUUGACUUGAAAUUCUAUACCCGCUUACUUAACUUGAAACUUCUAUACUUAACUCUUAAUUUCUAACUUCACUUGACUUCUAACUAACUCUCCUUGAAUUGGAAUUAUGAAUUCAAGGGUGUUUGAUCACAUGUUACGGAUGAGUUCUUGACUUUUUGAAGUACCUUGGAGUGUUGGAAACAACUAGGAAACAUAGGUAUAAUACCUAGGAACAUGUAUGAAAAAGUGGGGAAUUAAGGUAACGGGAAGGAUUGGCGUCCUUGGCGCUCUAAGAGGC
rnacentral:lncRNA from 1 species